rnacentral:rRNA from 1 species
CCGUACAUGAUAUGGACUACCAGGGCAAUGUGAUACAGUCUCUAAGAGUCGAGUUGUUUGGGAAUGCAGCUCAAAGUGGGUGGUAAAUUCCAUCUAAGGCUAAAUAUAGGUGAGAGACCGAUAGCAAACAAGUACCGUGAGGGAAAGAUGAAAAGAACUUUGGAAAGAGAGUUAACAGUACGUGAAAUUGUUAAAAGGGAAACAUUUGAAGUUAGACUUGUUAUUGUUGGUUCAGCUCUUUUUAUAAGGGUGUAUUCCAAUGGUUAACAGACCAGCAUCAAUUUUUGGGUGUUAGAUAAGGGUCUUGAGAAUGUAGCAACCUCGGUUGUGUUAUAGAUCUUGACUUGAUAUAAUGCUUAGGAUUGAGGAACGCAGUGAGCUUCUUUGAAGUGGAUCCCCUUGGGGGUC